rnacentral:rRNA from 1 species
GGAGGAUCCGGGCGUUAUCCGGAUUUAUUGGGUUUAAAGGGUGCGCAGGCGGGGAUUUAGGUCGGCGGUGAAAUUUCGGGGCUCAACCUCGAUAGUGCCGUUGAAACCGUUUCUCUUGAGUGCGGAUGAGGUAGGCGGAAUUUGUGGUGUAGCGGUGAAAUGCGUAGAUAUCACAAGGAACACCGAUUGCGGAGGCAGCUUACUAAACCGUUACUGACGCUCAUGCACGAAGGCGUGGGGAUCAAACAGGAUUAGAUACCCUGGUAGUCCACGCAGUAAACGAUGAUUACUUGCUGUUUGCGAUACACAGUAAAGCGGCGUAGCGAAAGCGUUAAGUAAUCCACCUGGGGAGUACGUUCGCAAGAAUG